GACCAGAAGCAUAAUAUCAGCGUGGAAACAAAAAGGCAAAGGUCUCAAUUUUUGGUCAUUGAUCUUCUCUGAUCUGAUCUAAUUCUAAUAUUUUUCAAGCACACAGCUGCAAUAAAAUGACCAACACUGAUGAGGCUGAGGGCAGCCAGGACCUGGAGGCUCCAGAGGAAGACCUGGAUGAUGAACUUCAAACUUUACUGCACUUCAGCAAACAUGGAGACAAUCAGAGGGCUCAACCAUGGCAGCAGUGGACCUUCAGAGAGAAGGCAAACUAUCUAAUGGACCGCAUMUUCCUUGGUUUUUUGAUUCUCUUUUUGAUUGUGUUGAUUUGUGAAUGCGGCUAUAAAAUGUGGUAUGUGUCAAACAUAAAGAAGAUGGUGCAGUUUAUGUCAGACUCRGUGAUUUUUAUAUUUGACUGGCUCUUCACACAGGAAAGACAAGAGGAACUGUUUGAACUGUAAGAUGAUCUGUGUUAUCGCCCGAUUCUAUUUCAGGUAGAAAUAAAGUUAACUUGUUAACACUUCUGUAGUUCUCCGAAACUACAUSUUCUUCUUAACUUUAUUUCUGACUGUCAAAAUGAUGGAAAUAAAUUGUGUAACUAACUA